UAAGAAAGAGGGCUGCAAAACCCACAGAGCAAGUUUGUGUUGGCUUGGGGUAAUAGCAUUCUCUAACCUAUCUCUCUGAACUGCAGUUUCCUGCCCUUCGAAAUGGGGAUGAUAACAAUUAACACUCUUUUGAUGCUCACUUCACAGAUAUUCAAUUACCUUGAGUGACUCCAGUUACACUUUUCAAAGACUGAUGGUCGCUGUGGAUGUAGCUUUCAAGGCAAGGGGAGGGAGUACCAAUGUCACCUUCAGACACAUCGGGCCAAGUCAUCAACAUUCAUUGAUUGUCCUAUUAAGUGAUUCUCUAUAAAGUUGUGACAUUUUCUGUCCUUCUGUGCCCUAACCUUGCACUGGUCAGUCCCCUCUUCUCAGGAUUUUUAACAUUUUUUUUUUAAGUGGACUUAGGAUAGAACAGGAGUUCUAUCAAAUGCUAUGCCUGGUCACCAUCUUCCUUCCAGGAGUUAGCAAUUUUCUGUCACCCUCUUUUUUUUUUUUUUUUUUUUUUUUUGGACGGAACCAUAAAUAUUGAAAACUCUACCGAUAUUAUAUUCUGGUGCCUUACACUGUGUUCAUGACCUCCAAUUUAUCCUAUUAUAGCUUGUCUGCAGAGAGCUGUUUGCAUCUUGCCUUCUCCUAAAUCAUGCGUGCUUCAAGAACAGAAACUGCUUCCUUAAUAUCCCCAGCUUUUAACACAAAGUCUAGUACAUGAUAGGUGUUAAUAAACAUUAAUUAAAUGACUGA